UGGUCACCGCUCAUUUCAUUAAGAAUAUGAAAUGGGCGAAGGGCAAAGCAGCCGACAGAGGGCUCAGCUCAGAAAGCAAAAAAAAAAUAGAGAUCUGUCAAAGUAUACAAGGAUCACCCAGAAAAAACAAAACAUUCUCAAGCAGUAACAAGGCAUAUGGAGGAAAGCCGCAGAUUAUAAUAACAAUACAACCAGCCAGAUGAAGCUGCAUUCUAACAGAAGUCCUGGAUGGGCCUGGAAUGUUUCUCCUACAGGAUUUGAACAUGAAACCUCUUCUCAAAGGCCUGGUAGCACACCUCUUUCUUUUAACUGUGGAGGGGAAAGCACCUGGCCAAGCACAAAGAUGGGAAUCAAUAACCAGUAGAAAUUGAGAAUUGGUCCUUUUCUUCUUAAGGAAUACAGAUGCAUCAUGCUCAAUCCAAAUGUUCCAAAUAAGUGGCAGCAACAGCAAAAUACUUAGAAAGAGAACACUGGCUCUUAAAUGAAAUGCAUAUAAAGAACUUCAUGGAGGAAUGUCAGUUUCAAAUAAACUUCAUCCUAGUAAUCCAAUUUAAACCAAGGAUUUAAGUACUGGUCAGCACAGAAAAUGGCACAUAACAUUAUGCACCGUGCCGGUGCCUUACAAGCACAUGACACUGGCAUGAUAAGUUGCAUGCAACUACUUUGUAUGUUGCUGUAACAGUUUGUUCCAGAUGCUCGCUUGGAACAGACAUACUAUGCCAGUACCAGGUUAGCUCACUGUCGACAAGUGAUACUUCGAACUUUGAUGUGAACCCAAGACAGUAAUACCAAUUUUAGAGAUUUAGAGGAUUUAGGUUUUCUUUCAAGAUUUGGGAUAAUUGGAGAUACUAAAUUGUCACAUAGCAAAUCUAGAAACGAAACUUUAUCUGAAAGAAGUUCUUAUCUAUGUCCAAAAAUAACUGAUUAGAGUUUCAGUGUAAAUAGCUGUCUUGUUUUAAGUUGAAAUUAGUGGAAGUUGGUUUACAUUUUGAAAGAGUUGUCAGAGACUCGUAUCUGAUAUCUGAUACCUCAUCUGAAACAUAGAAAGUUAAAGGACUAUAUAUAUGCGCACACAGAAGAAAUGAAGGAGAAAAUAUAGUCGCAAAAAGUCAGCUGUUUGGGAAAGAAGAACAUGAAAACCCAUCAUAGAUAAUGAGAUUUUAUUUAAGCCUUCCUACCUAUCACUUAAAAUUAGUCUAUAAGUAGACAUACCCCUGAAGUUCGCUGAGCUUUCUGCAUGAUUCAGUAAAAUAUGUACCCUCAUAAAUGGCUUGACAAGAUGCAACUACCUCUUCAAUUUAGAAAUAAAGACCACCAAAGUUUAACUUUUAUCACCUUUCCAGAUAAAUUAUAGUACCGCUAGCCCUCCAAUGAAAUUAAAUUCAAACCGAAAAGAGACGCAUGGUUCACAUUACUACUACAUCAUUUUAAAAGAUGAUAUUGUGCUUCUUGAUUUGUGUCUUCCUCUUGACGAGUAGUUAACAAAGCAAUUGUUAUAUGAAUGCAUGUUUCUAUUGUCUGAUUAAAUAGUAAGAGUGUCUUGCCGCAUGAUCCUCCAUAAGUUUUACAAGCCAUAGAUUCAGCAUCCUUCAUAUCAGCCUCAUUCUUCUAGAGAAUACCUUCCUGGUAUACAUUUCAUUUGUGUAAGGCAGUGAUCGGAUGCUAUGCAUCUCCAUUAUCUUGUCUAUCUAAUCUUCAAUUUGUUCCCUUUUUGAACAGAAAACUGAAGUUAAUGCACAAAUUAGUGGAUGGAGCAUACAGAUUCAUUUCCAUCAAAAUUAUACUUUAAGGUCAUUAAGCAGUCACAUGUAUUGCCAGCUCCAUCGUAUCCUUGCCCGUACAUUCUCAAUAUGUCUACUCUAUGCUCUCAUAACAAUGAUGUAAUGAUCAUCUUGAGGAUCAUAACAACACCAUAGCUGUAUAAAUAACAUGCAUGAUGUCAUAUAUUGCAACAUCCAUCUGUUUUUUAUGUAUAUAUGAUGACAGUCUUUGACUAAAAUGCCAACUAAUGUAUCUUCAAGUUCCUUAAUGGCACCAGGUGGCUUUAGUUGCAAUAACAUUAUUAUGUCUUAUUUGUAUUUUGGAUCCAAGCAAUCAUAUUUCCGGAAGCAUUCUUUCAUAGUAUAUGACUGAGAUCUUGUUUUUAUUAAAAUUGAAAUUGAAAGAUAUACAGAUAAUUGCGUUGAUUAGUUGACUCCUCAGACUGAAAAGCAAGACCCUAUACUUGUAGAAACAACUGCAAUUAAACAAAGAGACAAGUUUUGAUUGCCUGUUUGCUAUAGUUUCAAUGUGUCAUUUUUGCUGCAGUCAGCUUCAAAAAUCUGCCUCUUAAUCAUUCAUGCCAUGAUAAGCUCUGAUAUGAAUAUCUAUGUUUUCGUGCUUUUUCUUAGAUCUUAAAUUAUUCAACUACAAGCAACUCUCUUCCAUUUUGAUCUUAGCUCUCAGGUUUGUAUAAUUAACAAUAAAAAUAAAACAUACCACAUUUUUUUACAGAUAUUUUGUAAAUAAGCAUUCAGAUCACAUUUUAUUGGUUCAUGUGGUAAUCUGAUGCCCAAGUUCUUAGCCCAAAAUCUAUGGAUAGAUUGGAAUGUGCAUGUAUAUAUAAACAUGCCCCAUCAAUGAAGGUCAUACCUUCACAUAACGAAACUCCCGUGUGGAGACUUAAGCAUGCAUACCGUCAUAGUAACAUCAAACACUAUCGAAACAAUUCCGCCAUUCAACUUCAUCUCUAAAAUUCCAAGCAAUGUACUUCAUAUCAAGAGAUCAAAAUUAAUUGAAACUCCUUCAUCAUUUCUGCCAUAUAUGCUGCCAGGAUAAUCUUCUAAAUUUUAAUCAUUUUUCCAGGAAAAUGAAGUCCAGGUUAUGGUGUCGAAAGAUAACAUGAGCAGUAACUAGAGGAAUCUCGUCGCUACAAUUUAUAACUCCAGACAAACUACUAGUUGGAAAUUAAUUAUCGCCCAGUUUCUUGGUCAUUACGAGUACUAUGCUACACCAAAGAGAAAGAUGAGUCCUCUUUCAGGCAUUUCAACAAACACGCAAAAUUAAAAACUACCUGAAUAUUUCUACCAUCAUAGCCUGGUGGUUAUUAAAACAUUUGAAACCGUUCUACAGAAAGAGAAUAGAAUCAUGGUAAAGACGAUGCAUCUACCAUUCUCUCUACUAAAUUAUUCAUCUUAAAAGAACAAGCUAGAUGCAAGUGAGAAAGAGAGACCUCACCAAGCGAGGGAUAUCUGAUAUGGAAUGGCUCCGGAGGUAGCACGAGGAACG
rnacentral:lncRNA from 1 species